AUUUUAUUAAUAAUUGAAUUUAUAAUUAUUACAAUAAAAUAAUUAUAAAUUUUUAAAUAUCUUUUUGUUUUAGAGCAUGAGAGAAAAAGGUAAUAUAUACCAAUUAAUAAUACACUAGGACCUAUAUAAGAAACCGCCUCCCAUUUCAGCCAAAACUGGUCAUUCAGACAGAUUGUCAGCUAAUACAGGUUAAUUAUAAUACUGCAUGUUUAAAUGAAAUAAAAUGUUUACACUGUAUGCUUUAGUUAAAACAAAACAUAUGUUUUUGUUACAAUUUAUAAUACUAUCACUUAACAUUACACAUUUAACCCUUAACAACCCACUAGUGUCCAACGGACACAUUUUCAAAUUGAUUUGCCUACCGAAUCAAGAAUAUAUAUUUUAUAACAAAAUCACUUUAUUCUCCUCCCAUUGUUUGAAGUCUGCC
rnacentral:lncRNA from 1 species